UACGUAGGUGACAAGCGUUGUCCGGAUUUACUGGGCGUAAAGAGCGCGCAGGCGGUCGUUCAAGUCGAGUGUGAAAGCCCCCGGCUCAACUGGGGAGGGUCACGCGAUACUGAUCGACUCGAAGGCAGGAGAGGGUAGUGGAAUUCCCGGUGUAGUGGUGAAAUGCGUAGAUAUCGGGAGGAACACCAGUGGCGAAGGCGACUACCUGGCCUGUUUCUUGACGCUGAGGCGCGAAAGCUAGGGGAGCAAACGGGG
rnacentral:rRNA from 1 species